AUUGAACGCUGGCGGCAGGCCUAACACAUGCAAGUCGAACGGUAGCACAGAGAGCUUGCUCUCGGGUGACGAGUGGCGGACGGGUGAGUAAUGUCUGGGAAACUGCCCGAUGGAGGGGGAUAACUACUGGAAACGGUAGCUAAUACCGCAUAACGUCUUCGGACCACAGUAGGGGACCUUCGGGCCUCACACCAUCGGAUGUGCCCAGAUGGGAUUAGCUAGUAGGUGGGGUAAUGGCUCACCUAGGCGACGAUCCCUAGCUGGUCUGAGAGGAUGACCAGCCACACUGGAACUGAGACACGGUCCAGACUCCUACGGGAGGCAGCAGUGGGGAAUAUUGCACAAUGGGCGCAAGCCUGAUGCAGCCAUGCCGCGUGUAUGAAGAAGGCCUUCGGGUUGUAAAGUACUUUCAGCGGGGAGGAAGGCGAUGAGGUUAAUAACCGCAUCGAUUGACGUUACCCGAAGAAGAAGCACCGGCUAACUCCGUG
rnacentral:rRNA from 1 species